UACCAGCACCCCGAUGGUCGGGACGUUUUAUUGGGCCUAAAGCAUCCGUAGCCGGUUCUACAAGUCUUCCGUUAAAUCCACCUGCUUAACAGAUGGGCUGCGGAAGAUACUAUAGAGCUAGGAGGCGGGAGAGGCAAGCGGUACUCGAUGGGUAGGGGGUAAAAUCCGUUGAUCCAUUGAAGACCACCAGUGGCGAAGGCGGCUUGCCAGAACGCGCUCGACGGUGAGGGAUGAAAGCUGGGGGGAGCAAACCGG
rnacentral:rRNA from 1 species